AGUGAACGCUGGCGGUAGGCCUAACACAUGCAAGUCGAACGGCAGCACAGUAAGAGCUUGCUCUUACGGGUGGCGAGUGGCGGACGGGUGAGGAAUACAUCGGAUUCUACUUUUUCGUGGGGGAUAACGUAGGGAAACUUACGCUAAUACCGCAUACGACCUACGGGUGAAAGCAGGGGAUCUUCGGACCUUGCGCGAUUGAUUGAGCCGAUGUCGGAUUAGCUAGUUGGGGGGGUAAAGGCCCACCAAGGCGACGAUCCGUAGCUGGUCUGAGAGGAUGAUCAGCCACACUGGAACUGAGACACGGUCCAGACUCCUACGGGAGGCAGCAGUGGGGAAUAUUGGACAAUGGGCGCAAGCCUGAUCCAGCCAUACCGCGUGGGUGAAGAAGGCCUUCGGGUUGUAAAGCCCUUUUGUUGGGAAAGAAAAGCAGCAGGUUAAUACCCCGCUGUUCUGACGGUACCCAAAGAAUAAGCACCGGCUAACUUCGUG
rnacentral:rRNA from 1 species